AAAUAUGGUGAAAAGAGGUUAAAAGUGACAAUAAUUUAAGUAGAAAAGGUUUAGGGAUGUGACAGAAAAGGGAGAAAUGUAGUAAAAAUGCAUUCAAAGGUGUAAAAAUAUGUCAAGAAAAAUUUAUGGAAAUAGGUUAAAAUAUGACAAGUUUGGUGUAGUUGCAGAAAAAAAGGUAAAAAUAAGCAAAAAUUGGCUUCAAUUGUUUAAAGAAAUAUUCUUGGUAUCUUGAAGACAUCUGGCGACCCCCUCCCAGUGUCUCGAGACCCCAAAUGAGAAACUCCUGGUGUAGAAGAUAGUUAUGUUUCUAUACUGGAGAUAAAUUCAUUACAUAAUUUACUGUAUUUCAGAUGAAACCAGUGAUGUUGCGUAUUCUUCAAUCAAUUUUCAAAAAACAAAAAAAAAAGGUGAGUAUAUUUUCACCAUUAGAUAAAAAAGCUGAGUCAUGAAACUGUUUACAUCAUCCUUCUGUUCCCAGAACGGAAAACGAAUCCAGAAGAAAGAACUAUUUAUUCAGGUGUGAAGAUCAGAACAUCUGCAGAUUCUGGUUUAAUCUACUCACAAGUACAAUUUGACAAUAAACGCAAAGCAAAGAAACGCAAGGAAAAUUCUCCUCUGAAAGAUGCUGACCAAAGCGUUUAUUCUGAAAUCGUAACUGGGAACCAGUCUGGGUGAAUAGUGAGCUGUACCACCAACACAACCUGGAUGGAUGAAAAAUUAGAAACUUUAUUUUGGCGAGUCCUGUCUCUGUGCAUUUUACUGUCAGUUUUUAUGAAAUAACAUCUCAGACUAAAAAAAAAAAAAAAAAAAAAAAAAAAAAAGAUGGAUUUUUUUUGAACGUUUAAACAAAUUGUAAUGUUUUAUAUUUUCAACUGAAUAUAAUGUACAACAUGAUUAUAUUUUUCAUUAUCCAUUAUCUUUAAUAUCUGUAGCUCCUCC
rnacentral:lncRNA from 1 species